AUCGCAUGGUGUUCUGGGAAAGCCUUUGCGGCAUGGGAUGGGGUCGCGUCCUAUCAGCUUGAUGGCGGGGUAACGGCCCACCAUGGCUUCGACGGGUAGCCGGCCUGAGAGGGCGACCGGCCACAUUGGGACUGAGAUACGGCCCAGACUCCUACGGGAGGCAGCAGUGGGGAAUAUUGCACAAUGGGCGCAAGCCUGAUGCAGCGACGCCGCGUGAGGGAUGGAGGCCUUCGGGUUGUAAACCUCUUUUGUUAGGGAGCAAGGCAUUUUGUGUUGAGUGUACCUUUCGAAUAAGCACCGGCUAACUACGUGCCAGCAGCCGCGGUAAUACGUAGGGUGCAAGCGUUAUCCGGAAUUAUUGGGCGUAAAGGGCUCGUAGGCGGUUCGUCGCGUCCGGUGUGAAAGUCCAUCGCUUAACGGUGGAUCCGCGCCGGGUACGGGCGGGCUUGAGUGCGGUAGGGGAGACUGGAAUUCCCGGUGUAACGGUGGAAUGUGUAGAUAUCGGAAAGAAC
rnacentral:rRNA from 1 species